rnacentral:lncRNA from 1 species
AACAGGGCCUCCGGUCAACGAAAGUCUGACGGCCGGAUAUCUCGAAUUUUCAUUAACAAAAUUUCCGAGUUACAACUCGGAUUUUCAUCAGGAAAGUCCGAGAUCCGACUUUCGACUUGAGUUGCAACUCGGACUCGGAUGAUACUUAGGGGCGGACCAUUAGAAAAGUGAUGGGGAGGGGGGAGGGGGGGGGGCAAAAGCAAAAAUAAAAAUCGAGCAGGGGACACAGAAAAAAAAUUCGUGCACCAGAAGUUUGAAAAAAAAAAUUCGUGCAGAGACUUUUCAAUAGGGAAAAUUAUAAGUUGACAGGGCCUAUCAGAGGUACAGUGUAGGGGUGGCCCCCAAAUUUGGAAAAUAAAAGAAAAAUAAUUUGGAACGUUUUUUGAUAUAACUUUGUAUUAAAUGGUGUGAGAAAAAAAUUUCUAAACCUAAAUGUAGCAGAUACUACCAUUUUCGAGCUUCCGUGAAGCGUGCAUUUAUAACUAGGUUUUAAAACGUUUCUUCAGCAUGAGUUUGUCAUUCAAAACUUUUUAUUUCGCUCCUAAAACAUUUUGUUUUGACAUAAUAACUUCUGUGAGCGUGGUAUAAAACAUAUUGUUUUGCACGCAAAAC